UACGUAGGGUGCAAGCGUUGUCCGGAAUUAUUGGGCGUAAAGAGCUCGUAGGCGGUUUGUCGCGUCUGCUGUGAAAACCCGAGGCUCAACCUCGGGCCUGCAGCCGAUACGGGCAAGCUAGAAUUCGGUAGGGGAGACUGGAAUUCCUGGUGUAGCGGUGAAAUGCGCAGAUAUCAGGAGGAACACCGGUGGCGAAGGCGGGUCUCUGGGCCGAUAUUGACGCUGAGGAGCGAAAGCGUGGGGAGCGAACAGG
rnacentral:rRNA from 1 species